rnacentral:rRNA from 1 species
UACGGAGGGUGCGAGCGUUGUCCGGAAUCACUGGGCGUAAAGGGCGCGUAGGCGGCUUCUCAAGCGUGUGGUGAAAGUCCGGGGCUCAACCCCGGAUCGGCCGUGCGGACUGGGGAGCUCGAGUUCUGUAGAGGCGGGUGGAAUUCCGGGUGUAGCGGUGGAAUGCGCAGAUAUCAGGAGGAACACCGAUGGCGAAGGCAGAUCUCUGGGCCGUAACUGACGCUGAGGAGCGAAAGCAUGGGGAGCGAACAGG